GCUUCGGCUCGUGAUAGAGCAUCUGUCUUCGGAACAGAGGGUCGGGGGUUCGAAUCCCUCCGGGUGCACCA
rnacentral:tRNA from 1 species